rnacentral:rRNA from 1 species
GUGAACGCUGGCGGUAGGCCUAACACAUGCCAGUCGAACGGCAGCACAGUAAGCGCUUGCUCUUACGGGUGGCGAGUGGCGGACGGGUGAGGAAUACAUCGGAAUCUACUUUUUCGUGGGGGAUAACGUAGGGAAACUUACGCUAUUACCGCAUACGACCUACGGGUAAAAUCAGGGGAUCUUCGGACCUUGGGCGAUUUAAUGAGCCGAUGUCGGAUUAGCUAGUUGUCGGGGUAAAGGCCCACCAAGGCGACGAUCCGUAGCUGGUCUGAGAGGAUGAUCAGCCACACUGGAACUGAGACACGGUCCAGACUCCGACGGGAGGCAGCAGUGGGGAAUAUUGGACAAUGGGCGCAAGCCUGAAGCAGCCAUACCGCGUGGGUGAAGAAGGCCUUCGGGUUGUAAAGCCCUUUUGGUGGGAAAGAAAAGCAGCAGGUUAAUACCCCGCUGUUCUGACGGUACCAAAAGAAUAAGAACCGGCUAACUUCG